rnacentral:rRNA from 1 species
AGCGAACGCUGGCGGCAGGCCUAACACAUGCAAGUCGAACGGACCCUUCGGGGUUAGUGGCGGACGGGUGAGUAACACGUGGGAACGUGCCUUUAGGUUCGGAAUAGCUCCUGGAAACGGGUGGUAAUGCCGAAUGUGCCCUUCGGGGGAAAGAUUUAUCGCCUUUAGAGUGGCCCGCGUCUGAUUAGCUAGUUGGUGAGGUAAUGGCUCACCAAGGCGACGAUCAGUAGCUGGUCUGAGAGGAUGACCAGCCACAUUGGGACUGAGACACGGCCCAAACUCCUACGGGAGGCAGCAGUGGGGAAUCUUGCGCAAUGGCGAAAGCCUGACGCAGCCAUGCCGCGUGAAUGAUGAAGGUCUUAGGAUUGUAAAAUUCUUUCACCGGGGACGAUAAUGACGGUACCCGGAGAAGAAGCCCCGGCUAACUUCGUGCCAGCCGCCGCUGUAAUAC